rnacentral:rRNA from 1 species
UGGGGAAUCUUGCACAAUGGGCGCAAGCCUGAUGCAGCCAUGCCGCGUGUGUGAAGAAGGCCUUCGGGUUGUAAAGCACUUUCAGCGGGGAGGAAGGCGGUGAGGUUAAUAACCUCAUCGAUUGACGUUACCCGCAGAAGAAGCACCGGCUAACUCCGUGCCAGCAGCCGCGGUAAUACGGAGGGUGCAAGCGUUAAUCGGAAUUACUGGGCGUAAAGCGCACGCAGGCGGUCUGUCAAGUCGGAUGUGAAAUCCCCGGGCUCAACCUGGGAACUGCAUUCGAAACUGGCAGGCUAGAGUAUUGUAGAGGGGGGUAGAAUUCCAGGUGUAGCGGUGAAAUGCGUAGAGAUCUGGAGGAAUACCGGUGGCGAAGGCGGCCCCCUGGACAAAGACUGACGCUCAGGUGCGAAAGCGUGGGGAGCAAACAGG